rnacentral:rRNA from 1 species
ACGGGGGGUGCAAGCGUUGUUCGGAAUUAUUGGGCGUAAAGAGCGUGUAGGCGGCUGGAUAAGUCAGAUGUGAAAGCCCUGGGCUUAACCCAGGAAGUGCAUUUGAUACUGUCCGGCUUGAGUAGGGGAGAGGGAAGUGGAAUUCCUGGUGUAGAGGUGAAAUUCGUAGAUUGCAGGAGGAACACCGGUGGCGAAGGCGAUUUCCUGGCCCUAUACUGACGCUGAGACGCGAGAGCGUGGGGAGCAAUCAG